AGACAUAUUUCAUGACUGAAUAUGUUGUCACUCGCUGGUAUCGGGCACCUGAACUGCUCCUUAACUGUUCGGAAUACACGGCCGCAAUUGAUGUUUGGUCGGUUGGUUGUAUUCUCGGUGAAAUAAUGACAAGAGAACCUUUGUUUCCCGGAAAAGAUUAUGUACAUCAGCUAAGACUCAUUACUGAGGUAAAAAGUCAUGUCUGGCUCUUUCUAGAGAACCUUGGUUUCCCGGAAAAGAUUAUGUACAUCAGCUAAGACUCAUUACUGAGGUAAAAAGUCGUGUCUUGCUCUUUCAUGGUUUGCGAUGCAUUUUCAAAGUUCUUUGGUGAACCUAAUUAAGGAAAAAAAGGUUUAUUUGAAGGUGUAGAGAAGUUGAUCCGCAGUUUACCUGAACUAACCCCCUCUUUUCUUUGUCAUUUCUCUCCUUUUUAAGUUGAAACUAGUCAGCCUGUUUGGCGAAGCUUCUCCUAGUUCAAAAAAGUGCUUUUGUUCCAAAUUUG
rnacentral:lncRNA from 1 species